AACGCACCUUGCGCUCCUUGGUAUUCCGAGGAGCAUGCCUGUUUGAGUGUCAUUAAAUUCUCAACCCCACCGAUUUGUUUCGGUUGUGGGCUUGGACUUGGGGUGUGCUGGCGAAAGUCGGCUCCUCUCUAAAUGCAUCAGCGGAUUGAAUAUACCCUUUGCUGUCAUCAGUGUGAUAAUCAUGUCUCGCUGUUACCAGGCUCGGUGGUGUUCCGCUUCUAAUGGUCUUCGGACAAUACACUUUUAAAUUUGACCUCAAAUCAGGUAGGACUACCCGCUGAACUUAA
rnacentral:misc_RNA from 1 species